CGGGGGUGCCGGCAGACUCCCCGCGUCACAGACGCGCGCCGCGCGUCCAAGCUCUGC
rnacentral:ncRNA from 1 species